ensembl:snoRNA Gm56345 predicted gene, 23172
AGGGCAUGUCAAAGAGAGCUUGUUAGACCCUUAACCAAGAGCUCUUGGCAUUGUGACCAAAGGUCGACGUUGUCCAUGGUGUGACACAGUCACCCACAAGUGCUGUUUUCCUGAGGGGACAUAAAAUU